GAGAACAAAUAAUGGAAGGUUUCAUGGGUAUAGAGAACGCUAACCUAGCUUAAGAGCUGUAUGGUGUGCAGAGGAAUUGGAGCAAUUCUUAGAAAUUUUCCUCAAAUGACCAGGGGCUGAUAGAGGCUUUCUUGAGGCAAUAACCUGAAAACGUCUUACAAGCUGGGGAAAGCAGGCGUUCCAGGUGGCUGGAAAGAUUGGAGAGGGUAGAAAAACUUCACCUGACCUGCUUUCUUGAGAUGUGGAUUUGAAAGUCUGUUUUGAAAAUGGGACAGAAGAACAUGUACAGAGAGACAGCUGUCAGUGAGGAACAAAAUGCCGUUACUCUGCAGUCUCAGGAGUAGUUUCUGCAGCAGGACGUGCAAGGAGAGCUAUAGCUAUUGGAAGUAUAGGCAAGAAGUGACCAUUGAUCUUGGCAGUCCCUAGAUCAAGGGAUGAUGAGCUGUUCCAUAUAUUCUCUGCAGCUGGGAAUUCAGAACUUCAUUUGUACUUUCCAGAAAGUCUCACUCAUGCGGGCUGUACUUAGGAGUGCUCUCAGGAACUACACAGGGCUUUGUCAUAGGUAUUUAUGAGAGUUGAGAUUUAAAGGACCUGAAUAAAUUUCAGUUAUAUUGUUGUCUAAAUAUUCUUUUAUCCAGGUGCGCACCAAAUACAUUCACAGAUUUCUAUGACAAGUGUAAGUGUAAGGUGGGAUUAAGUACUUUUUCUACUUUGUUUAGUUUGCAAAGUAUUUAAUAGGAGUGUUUGUAUGCACAGGUGUUCACCGCAAUGGGGGGAAUAAGAAGCAUUUUAAAAAUAAAAAGUAGUCUGAUUGUAAAAGUAAUAAAAUUAGCAAAGGGAUCAGGAGCUGCAUUAAUGUUGGUAAUAACAUCUAAGUAGCAAAA